GACGAACGCUGGCGGCGUGCUUAACACAUGCAAGUCGAGCGGUAAGGCCCUUUCGGGGGUACACGAGCGGCGAACGGGUGAGUAACACGUGGGUGACCUGCCCUCAGCUCUGGGAUAAGCCCGGGAAACUGGGUCUAAUACUGGAUAUGACUCCAUGACGCAUGUUGUGGGGUGGAAAGCCUUGUGCGGCUAGGGGAUGGGCCCGCGGCCUAUCAGCUUGUUGGUGGGGUGAUGGCCUACCAAGGCGACGACGGGUAGCCGGCCUGAGAGGGCGACCGGCCACACUGGGACUGAGACACGGCCCAGACUCCUACGGGAGGCAGCAGUGGGGAAUAUUGCGCAAUGGGCGAAAGCCUGACGCAGCGACGCCGCGUGUGGGAUGACGGCCUCGGUGUAAC
rnacentral:rRNA from 1 species